AUUGAACGCUAGCGGGAUGCUUUACACAUGCAAGUCGAACGAGUGGCGGACGGGUGAGUAAUAUAUAGGAACGAGCCCAGUAGAGGGGGAUAACUACUCGAAAGAGUGGCUAAUAACGCAUAACAAUGGAGCGGCAGAUAACGGAUUGGCCAGUUGGUGGGGUAAAGGCUAACCAAGGCAACGAUCCGUAGCUGGGUUGAGAGGCCGACCAGCCACACUGGGACUGAGACACGGCCCAGACUCCUACGGAAGGAAGCAGUGGGGAAUUUUGGACAAUGGGGGAAACCCUGAUCCAGCCAUCCCGCGUGUAUGAGAAGGCCUUCGGGUUGUAAAGUACUUUUGGCAGAGAAGCGGUAUCUGCAGAAUAAGCACCGGCUAACUACGUGCCAGCAGCCGCGGUAAUAC
rnacentral:rRNA from 1 species